rnacentral:rRNA from 1 species
CCCUUAGAUGUUCUGGGCAGCACGCGCGCUACAAUGGUCUUCGCAAACGGAUGCAUUCUCGAAGGAGAUUGCCAAUCUUGGAAUCUAUGCCUUGGUCGGGACAGUUGCUUGCAAUUUUUCGACUCGAACCAGGAAUUCCUUGUAAUCGUGAUUCAUCACAUCACGAUGAAUACGUCCCUGCCCUUUGUACACACCGCCCGUCGCUCCUACCGAUCGAAGAGUUAGGUGAAUUGUUUUGAUCGAUAAGAUUUGACUAUGGUCAACUCUCGUUGUGAAAUUCUGUGAAUCUGACUGUUUAGAGGAAGGAAAAGUCGUAACA